rnacentral:rRNA from 1 species
AUUGAACGCUGGCGGCAUGCCUUACACAUGCAAGUCGAACGGCAGCGGGGACUUCGGUCCGCCGGCGAGUGGCGAACGGGUGAGUAAUGUAUCGGAACGUACCAUUCAGUGGGGGAUAACUAUCCGAAAGGAUAGCUAAUACCGCAUAUUCUGUGAGCAGGAAAGCAGGGGAUCGCAAGACCUUGCGCUGAUUGAGCGGCCGAUAUCAGAUUAGCUAGUUGGUGAGGUAACGGCUCACCAAGGCUACGAUCUGUAGCGGGUCUGAGAGGAUGAUCCGCCACACUGGGACUGGGACACGGCCCAGACUCCUACGGGAGGAAGCAGUGGGGAAUUUUGGACAAUGGGCGCAAGCCUGAUCCAGCCAUGCCGCGUGAGUGAAGAAGGCCUUCGGGUUGUAAAGCUCUUUCGGCCGGGAAGAAAUCGCAUCAGCUAAUACCUGGUGUGGAUGACGGUACCGGAAUAAGAAGCACCGGCUAACUACGUGCCAGCCGCCGCAGUAACAC